rnacentral:rRNA from 1 species
UACGUAGGUGGCAAGCGUUGUCCGGAUUUAUUGGGUUUAAAGGGUGCGUAGGCGGUUUUUUAAGUCAGUGGUGAAAUACUUCAGCUUAACUGGAGAGGUGCCAUUGAUACUGGGAAACUUGAGUACUGAUGAGGUAGGCGGAAUGGACGGUGUAGCGGUGAAAUGCUUAGAUAUCGUCCAGAACACCGAUAGCGAAGGCAGCUUACUAAGGAGUAACUGACGCUGUGGCACGAAAGUGUGGGGAUCAAACAGG